rnacentral:rRNA from 1 species
UACGGAGGGUGCAAGCGUUAUCCGGAUUCACUGGGUUUAAAGGGUGCGUAGGUGGGCUGGUAAGUCAGUGGUGAAAUCUCCAGGCUUAACUUGGAAACUGCCAUUGAUACUAUUAGUCUUGAAUACCGUGGAGGUCAGCGGAAUAUGUCAUGUAGCGGUGAAAUGCUUAGAUAUGACAUAGAACACCAAUUGCGAAGGCAGCUGGCUACACGAAUAUUGACACUGAUGCACGAAAGCGUGAGGAUCAAACAGG